GGGUCAUUGACCAGGGCCGCACGCUCGGCCACUCAUGGGUAGUGGUAGCUGGAGCGUGUCGCUUGUCUUAUCGUGCUCCCACUCGAUCACUCAUGGGUAGUGGCGGCUGGAGUUGUGAGCAGCAGGAACCCUAUUGCUACAUAGAUAGAUAGCUACUAUGCAAACUGUCCACUCGAUCACUCAAGAGUAGUGGCGGCUGGAGUGUCGUACAGUUGUCAUCAAUCCGGCCUCUUGACCAUACAGGGGUCGUGGUGCAGAGAGGUGGGCGGGGUGACCAUUCGUGCAUACGCUGUUGUUAUUAUACUUAUGCUGUUGUUGCUUACUUAUGCUGCUGUUGCUAGUUUAUAUUGUUGUUGCUUAUGUUGUUAUGCUUACAUAUGUUGAGAUAUACAUCUGUUGUAUGUGUUUAAACACUGGCUUACUUAUUGUUAACAUGUAUAUACCUCACAUGAUACUCAUGUAGUUAUGAGCAGUACUGUAGCAGGUCUUUGCUACUCCUGACCUUCUAUUACUAGCGUAGGAUAUGGUUUCAGGUAGCAGGUAAAGGAUUUAUAGAGUCGCCUGGAUAUCCUGUCUGCCAGUCUCAUGUCACACCAAGCUUCCUGUACCGUUAGUGCUUCUAUACCCUUUAUUUUGGCUUUGUACUUAUUUGUGUAUUUGUAUCUUUUAUAUGGAGUUUGGAUUUGUAGUAUCUUGUAUUUAGUUUGAUGUGGUGGUUAUCGUGUCAAGCCGAAUUGGCUCGCAGUUAAUUGUAUUAUUGUUUUGUGAUCGUUAUUUGUGAUUUCCGUUGUGUUUUACUUUCAGCCGUGUGGGCUGUUUAAUAUAUAUAUAACUGUGUGGUUGUGUUUA